rnacentral:rRNA from 1 species
GACGAACGCUUGCGACGUGCCUGAGAAAUGCAAGUCGAGCGGCAGAUAGCCCUUUCGGGGUUGUCUGUAGCGGCGAACGGUCGAGUAACACGUAACCGACCUGCCCUUUGGUCUGGGAUAGCCCUCCGAAAGGGGAGUAAUACCGGAUGGUCUCAUAGUGGAGGCAUCUCUAUAUGAGUAAAGCUUUAUGUGCCGAAGGAGGGGGUUGCGGCCUAUCAGCUGGUUGGCGGGGUAACGCCACCAAGGCGACGACGGGUAGCUGGUCUGAGAGGAUGGUCAGCCGGAUUGGGGACUGAGACACGGCCCAAACUCCUACGGGGGCAGCAGGUGGGGAAUAUUGGACAAUGGGGGAAACCCUGAUCCAGCAAUGCCGCGUGGUGAUGAAGGCC